UACGUAGGUGGCAAGCGUUGUUCGGAGUUACUGGGCGUAAAGGGUGUGUAGGCGGUUGUUUAAGUUUGGUGUGAAAUCUCCCGGCUCAACUGGGAGGGUGCGCCGAAUACUGAAUGACUUGGAGUGCGGGAGAGGAAAGUGGAAUUCCUGGUGUAGCGGUGAAAUGCGUAGAUAUCAGGAGGAACACCGGUGGUGUAGACGGCUUUCUGGACCGUAACUGACGCUGAGACACGAAAGCGUGGGUAGCAAACAGG
rnacentral:rRNA from 1 species